rnacentral:rRNA from 1 species
CCUACGGGUGGCAGCAGUGGGGAAUAUUGCACAAUGGGGGAAACCCUGAUGCAGCGACGCCGCGUGAGUGAAGAAGUAUUUCGGUACGUAAAGCUCUAUCAGCAGGGACGAAAAUGACGGUACCUGACUAAGAAGCCCCGGCUAACUACGUGCCAGCAGCCGCGGUAAUACGUAGUAUGCGAGCGUUAUCCGGAUUUAUUGGGUUAAAAGUGUGCGCAGGCGGCCUGUUAAGUCAGCGGUAAAAGCACGGGGCUCAACCCCGGCGAGCCGUUGAAACUGGCGGGCUGGAGUUGGGGAGAAGUACGCGGAAUGCGCGGUGUAGCGGUGAAAUGCUUAGAUAUCGCGCAGAACCCCGAUUGCGAAGGCAGCGUACCGGCUCCACACUGACGCUGAGGCACGAAAGCGUGGGUAUCGAACAGGAUUAGAUACCCCUGUAGUC